UAAAUGAGAAACUCGUAAAUACUCGCUUCUGUUAGUUACAGCACGCAGUUUUUACUUCCUCCUGAAAAGUUACUUCUUUUACACCUACGAGGUUUUCACUCUAAGCUCGUUAUGUCAUAUUGUAAUAAUACAUACAUUUUCGACCUGGUGCUGUGUGCCUAGGUGCUGAACCGUGAUCGUUACAUAUUAUGUAUCUAAUAUCUAUAAAACUACGACACUCUUAUUUGUAGAGUGCUCUGUUUUCUAAUUUCUUGCGUUUUGUAUCAUCUGUCUUAGGGCCAUAGCAGAUACGAUACGAUACGAGUUUUUAGCAUCAGCAAUCGGUGUUUAGUUGCUAUACAGAAACUUAAUGCCGCGAUUGAACGCUUUGCUCCGCAUACAAACGAUCUCCAGUCGCAGCGAAUAAAUCGAUUUUAUUUAUUAAUUCAUAUCAAUUUAUCAAUACAGCUAUCGAACGCAGACAGUGGUCAAAGCCUCGAUAGCUCAACGGUUGAGAAGCGGACUGAAUUCCGAAAGGUCGGCGGUUCAAACCCCACCCGUUGCACUAUUGUCGCACCCACUCCUGACACAAGCUUUACGCUUAAUUGGAGUGGAAAGGGGAGUAUUAGUCAUGAGUAGCAUGGCUAAAAGCGCAAUGCAAAUAUACUUUUGUUGUAGGUACACCACAAAAUUAAUACAGAAAAACACAUACAAAGCAAAACAAAAAUACAGGCAGGUACUACAAUUUGGCGGCCUUAUCGCUGAGGUACAUACGAUCGAACGUAGAAAGUCGAUAAAACGCGAUACAGCAUCGAUGCAUUUGUCUAAUCGCUAAUCGCUGAUGCUAAAAGCAUUGUUGCUAUAGUCUUCACACAUCCUAAGCAUGAAUUUUAUACGCUUUGUAAUAUUAUUACCUAUAAGACUCACUACGCAUUGAACUAAAUAGCGACUCUUGUUACGACGCAAUAAAGUGCAAUUCAGCUCACACAGCAGUUCGGUCUAAAGUUUUACUAAUGCCUCUCUUUCUAUCGCGUAAACUCGUGCAUCUUUCUCUCUCUUAUGAGGUCGGAGGGGAUUGGGAUCUUGGGUUACGUGAGAAGGUGAGCCUGACAUAGUGCAACUAGAGCAUGUCUACUAAUGUCAUACCCUUUCCAAGUUACCCUGCUUCCAUAUUAGACUGUAUCAUCACUUACCAUCAGGAGAGAUCGCUGUUAAGGGUUAACUUGUAUCAGAAUUAAAAAAAAACCAGAAUCGACUAGUGCUAUCGUUUAUGCCGUCGAUACACAUGCUAGCUACUCGCACAAAAGCAUAAAAGCAGUAACUAGUACUAGCAAAAUUGAGCUACUCGCAUGUGUAUCACGCGCUGACAUUUUGCUAGUACCUGGCAUGCGUGCUUGCGAGCACCUAGCAUGCCAUUCACUGGCAUGUUAUCACAGGCUUUACACGUAUUACCGACUAGUUGCUUUAUAUCUUUGUCAUUUUAUAUUUGUAUGACAAAUCCUACUUGGUUAACUAUGAAGUUAAAUUUUUAGCCAGAAUAUAACAUCAAAAAUAAAUCUACUUAAAUUGUCUAUAAGACUUAAACAAAGAAGAAAAUUCGGCAUCUAUAAAAUAAAUAUGCCCAUUUUUUAUAUUAGGAGACAUAAAUUAAUUUAUAGUAUUUAGAUAAUCCCCAAGGCUGUGCUUUUUAUUUCUUGCUUACCACGACGUCCCAUUUAGAAAUUUCAUAAUUUGGUGAUAUGUAUGCUUAAUUGCUUUUUUUAGGAAUUUGAUGGCUUUUAUAUCAACCACGAUGCUACAAGGCGGUUAAGUUUUUUUAACAUUUCUUGUAAUGUUUAGAGUAUGUAAUAUCCUACGUAUAUAUGAGUUUCUAUUUAUUUUAUUCUUAGCUAAUGCCCAACAUGCUUUGUAAUAAUGACUCUUUCGAUUUGUUUGUAAUUUAUUUGAAUUCGCGCACCACUUAUUGUAUGUCAAUGGUACUGGUACUGAGUUAUGGGAGAAACUUUCACGCAAGUACGUACAACAAUUCAAUCCCGUGUGGACACUUUAAUUUUCCGGGAUAAAACAUAGCUUACAUCCCGGGAGACGGACAUACUAUCUCCCGGGAUGUAGCUCUGUACCUUUUGUCAAAAUCGGUUUAAUGGAUGGGCCGUGAUAGAUGUCAGACAGACACUUUCGCAUUUAUAAUAUUAGUAUGGAUUUAUACAGAUUAUUGUUUAUCUUCUUAUAUUUUACUUUAUUUAUGUUAUAAGUUUAGUUCAAUCUAUCAGAAAUGAAAACAAUUCAGUUACCCUUAAAAGUAUUUGUGAAUUUUAAUUUAAAGAUACUUAUAAUUUACAUGUAUUGUUUUUGUUAGAAAAAUAUAUUAUAGUUUAUUUAUAUAAGGUCGAUUAGGUCGCCGACUCAAAUCGUACUAUUUCCUGCCAUAAUAUUUUUCAUACGUUUUUUAGCUAAUGGGUGCAGUUUGAUAGUAAGGAGGUGAUUUACUUGCGAUUCAAUUUUGCGACCUAAUGGACACUUGACCUAAUACCUUCACUUCAGGAAUUUGUUAAUUUUUUACUUAGUUGCUAACAUUUUACGGAUACUUUGCUUUUAAUACUUAUUACUUACGAUUGUAACACAUCUGUUGGUACUUAAGUUGUACUUAUUUAUAUUUGAACAGAUAAUAUAUUAUAUACAUAUUUAUUUAUUAUUAGAUGAUGCACGCGGCUUCGACCACGUGGGUUUAAAUUUUAUUUUAAAAUCCCCUGGGAACCCUGAUUUUCUGGGAUAAAAAGUAUACUUAAUAUAAUAUUAUUUUAUAUGUCCGUCUUUGGCAUGCAAGCUAUCUCUGUGCCAAAUUUCUCCAAAAUCGGUGAAACAGAUGGGCCGUAAAAAAGGUAACAGACAGACACACUUUCACACUUUAUAAUAUAAAUAUGCGUUGAUGGAUAUAGCAAAGAGAGUUUAGAGAUUUAUAUUAAAUAAUAUAUAAUAAUAUAUUUUAAAAAGUAUUAGCGCCAAUUUUCCUAAACACAACGCAAAAUAUUUGGUACUAUUUUGCUUUUUAAAUCAUAUUAAAUUACCUACGCCCAUCGUAUUUAUUUUAAUUUAAAAGUUAGUAAAAAAUUCAAAUAAGCCUGAAAUACACACGACGGUGACGGAACUAAUAAAAUUUGCAAAAAAAGAGGAAGGAAGGAAGGAUUCUUUAUGAAAGCAUUCACACUUGUUUUACAAACAAUUCGUGUUUGUUUCAGUCUUAAUGAAGGCCCAUUCACACAUAUCAGUGAAAGAACUGUAAAUUCACUUUUGUGUAUGCAUAGGCCUUAACACGUACGUGGGUCAAUCAACUGUUUUACUCGCCCUAACUAAGCGUUAUCUGUUCUGUGAUAAAUAACUUACGUUCUUAGAUUCAAAAAAAACUAUAUUAUAUUAUUUGUUUUGAAUUUUUCACAAGUGAUACCGGGACAAAAAUAUUCUUGUAUGGCACGAGUAUUUCGUAUACUGAGUUACCAUUAAAAUUUGCAUUGAAAUUGGUAACCAAUAAGAUUUACAAUGAAUUUAUUUUAAAUUAGUGUUCAGUUUUUAGUUAGAGAAUAGAGAUAGCAAAGUGUGGGUAAAAUUAGUUGAGUGAUCGACGUUCGGACGUACAUUGUAGGAAGUAGGCACUGAAUUUCCAGUAUUUUUGAAAUCAAAUUUUUUUUUUUGGUCUAACAUUUUAACAACAAAAUGCCCAAAAAUGUCCAGAUAUUAUAGAGGCUAACAAAAUUUGUCGCGCAUUACUUUUUUUUUAUACAUUUAGACCGUACUAUAUAAUGUAAUUUCCAAUUAAAUAUGCUUUUAUCUCUUUUUAGCUCAACCUCGUGAAUACGAUACAUAAAAUUCACUACUUAUAGUCACGUACUUAGAAAGCUUAGUAAUUACCUACUUAUUAAGAACAGGUACUUAAAUGAAACUUUGAACCAACAAAAUAAUACAUAACGUAUUAUAAAUUUUAAUACAGCGUAAUAUUUUUAAAAAGGCAACAUUUACUUUUUUAUGCUGUAUGUAUACUGCCUUAAUUUUGUUAUUUUAAGUAGAUUGAUAUGAUUUUAUACUAACAUGCUGUUAUCACCAAAUCAGCAAUAUUUAAAGUGGCAAUUACUUAGUUUAAUUAGUAUCUUAAAGGCUAUGGUUUCAUUCCUAAUUGUUAAGUAAGUAUAAUAAUUUACAUUUUGUCAUAAUAUAAUAAUAGUCAAAUUUUACAGUUGCUCGAUAUGAAAUAAUGAAACAUGAAACUUGAAAUCAAUGCGAUAAUCUGCCUGUUGGCUUUGGCAUUAAAGACUAACUUAAGUCUUGAAACACACGACGUAUGACGGAACCUAAAGACUUGUGACGUCACACACAGCGCGCUUAUACAAAUUGAAAGCGUAUAAGGGACGUUGUAUUUAUUGCAACAAGUGACUGGAUUAAAGGAGCUCCAACGCGCGUUUUGUAUUGUGAAAAUUUUCAUGUAUAUUCUGUUGUACGCACAUUAAAACUAAAUUGCCGGGUCUAUCAAGUGCUAUCCCUUUCCGUAGAUAGCAUUAUGAAAGCGAUAGCAAUAAAUUUAAACCUGUCAUUUUAGUUUAGAGAUUGCGUACAACAAAAUUAGCCUAAUUGCAACUGAGCCGUGGUUUCGUCGCGCGUCUUGUUUGUUUCGGCCUUUAAAAGUAGCAAAAAUUACUACCAAAUAAUGAUUGCGUCGACCACGUUGUAAAUAGGUGACGUCAAACUUCUUGAGUGCUUUGAAGUUCUUGUUUGUGCUGGUAAAAUAAACACCAAACCCUACCCCGCCCUGCACCGAAUACGCGGUGUAUGCUGCCACUCCCUACCGUCUUUCGGCGGAAAUAGUGUCCCACAAACAACUUGAAUCUGAAGCAGUGUAAUGGGACUUGGGAGAAAGUUGGCGAACCCAAGAAGAAAGGAUCAGCUUAUCAACCUAUGGCGUGCACCCGCGCCGACUGAUCAACCAAUCGGUCUGGCCUACACGUCAAUGUUCAAGUUUUUGCCGAGCACUAUACAGUGUCUAAUGCAACGCUUUUUACCACUACCAGAUUAUUCAAAAAGUUUGGCGUCACCUGUACCAUAUGUGGUUCAUAAUAUAGAACCAGGUACCGAAAUGCAAUACCAGUGUAAGAAUAUCUAAGACGAAAUAUAUCUCUUUAAAAACUUGUUAUUUAUUGAACUGCAUUAUUGUGAUCGUUUUGGACUCUUGUUAUUGUGUAUGUUUAGAUGUAUUUCUCGAAUAUUUUGAACUUGUUGACUGUUUUGUCAUGAUAAUGUAGUUCGAUUUGAAAUUACUUAAAAUAUUGCGACAUUUUUAGAUGGAUGUGACCAAAAAUAUGAAAUAAAAGUUAAUUAAGAUUU